rnacentral:rRNA from 1 species
AACCCUGAGGCGUGAUGACGAUGCACUACGGUGCAGAAGUAGUUGAUGCCCUGCUUCCAGGAAAAUCCUCUAAGCUCCAGGUAACAUUAAAUCGUACCCCAAACCGACACAGGUGGUCAGGUAGAGAAUACCAAGGCGCUUGAGAGAACUCGGGUGAAGGAACUAGGCAAAAUGGUGCCGUAACUUCGGGAGAAGGCACGCUGGCAUGUAGGUGAAGUCCCUCGCGGAUGGAGCUGAAGCCAGUCGAAGAUACCAGCUGGCUGCAACUGUUUAAUAAAAACACAGCACUGUGCAAACACGAAAGUGGACGUAUACGGUGUGACGCCUGCCCGGUGCUGGAAGGUUAAUUGAUGGGGUCAGCCGCAAGGCGAAGCUCUUGAUCGAAGCCCCAGUAAACGGCGGCCGUAACUAUAACGGUCCUAAGGUAGCGAAAUUCCUUGUCGGGUAAGUUCCGACCUGCACGAAUGGCGUAAUGAUGGCCAGGCUGUCUCCACCCGAGACUCAGUGAAAUUGAACUCGCUGUGAAGAUGCAGUGUACCCGCGGCAAGACGGAAAGACCCCGUGAACCUUUACUAUAGCUUGACACUGAACAUUGAGCCUUGAUGUGUAGGAUAGGUGGGAGGCUUUGAAGCGUGGACGCCAGUCUGCGUGGAGCCAUCCUUGAAAUACCACCCUUUAAUGUUUGAUGUUCUAACUCGGCCCCGUGAUCCGGGGUGAGGACAGUGUCUGGUGGGUAGUUUGACUGGGGCGGUCUCCUCCCAAAGAGUAACGGAGGAGCACGAAGGUUAGCUAAUCACGGUCGGACAUCGUGAGGUUAGUGCAAAGGCAUAAGCUAGCUUGACUGCGAGAGUGACGGCUCGAGCAGGUACGAAAGUAGGUCUUAGUGAUCCGGUGGUUCUGAAUGGAAGGGCCAUCGCUCAACGGAUAAAAGGUACUCCGGGGAUAACAGGCUGAUACCGCCCAAGAGUUCAUAUCGACGGCGGUGUUUGGCACCUCGAUGUCGGCUCAUCACAUCCUGGGGCUGAAGUAGGUCCCAAGGGUAUGGCUGUUCGCCAUUUAAAGUGGUACGCGAGCUGGGUUUAGAACGUCGUGAGACAGUUCGGUCCCUAUCUGCCGUGGGCGUUGGAAGAUUGAGAGGGGUUGCUCCUAGUACGAGAGGACCGGAGUGAACGCACCACUGGUGUUCGGGUUGUCAUGCCAAUGGCAUUGCCCGGUAGCUAAGUGCGGAAAAGAUAAGCGCUGAAAGCAUCUAAGCGCGAAACUUGCCUCAAGAUGAGUCUUCCCUUGGACUUUGAGUCCACUGAAGGAACGUUUAAGACUAAGACGUUGAUAGGCUGGGUGUGUAAGUGCAGCGAUGCAUUGAGCUAACCAGUACUAAUGAUCCGUGAGGCUUAACCUU